rnacentral:rRNA from 1 species
UGCGUAGGCGGCCCGGGAAGUUGGGUGUGAAAGCCCUCGGCUCAACCGAGGAAUUGCGCCCAAAACUGCCGGGCUUGAGGAAGACAGAGGUGCGCGGAACUUAGGGUGGAGCGGUGAAAUGCGUUGAUAUCCUAAGGAACACCAGUAGCGAAAGCGGCGCACUGGGUCUUUUCUGACGCUGAUGCACGAAAGCUAGGGGAGCGAAGAGGAUUAGAUACCCUCGUAGUCCUAGCCGUAAACAAUGAGCACUGGUUUGGAGGGUCCUCCAUAGCCUUCCAGGCGUAGCGAAAGUGUUAAGUGCUCCGCCUGGGGAGUAUGGUCGCAAGGCUGAA